AACGAACGCUGGCGGCAUGCCUAACACAUGCAAGUCGAACGAGACCUUCGGGUCUAGUGGCGCACGGGUGCGUAACGCGUGGGAAUCUGCCCUUGGGUUCGGAAUAACAGUUGGAAACGACUGCUAAUACCGGAUGAUGACGUAAGUCCAAAGAUUUAUCGCCCAAGGAUGAGCCCGCGUAGGAUUAGCUAGUUGGUGAGGUAAAGGCUCACCAAGGCGACGUUCCUUAGCUGGUCUGAGAGGAUGAUCAGCCACACUGGGACUGAGACACGGCCCAGACUCCUACGGGAGGCAGCAGUGGGGAAUAUUGGACAAUGGGCGAAAGCCUGAUCCAGCAAUGCCGCGUGAGUGAUGAAGGCCUUAGGGUUGUAAAGCUCUUUUACCCGGGAUGAUAAUGACAGUACCGGGAGAAUAAGCUCCGGCUAACUCCGUG
rnacentral:rRNA from 1 species